CCCACCAGGUUAAGUGUUAGUGCAUUGCCUGUAGCCUUCACCCUCCUCCCCCGCGACCCAGCAGGGAGACCCAAGACUCCAUAAAACGUUUGCCAGUCUUUGAAUAUUUGGCUGAGCCUAAAAGGUGCUUCAUUUUAGCACCCCCUUUCCUGUCCAGGUGGAAUUUGAACGAUUGAAAAAAAUCCACUCCUGGUCACUUAGAAUACCACCCACAGGACAGCAAGAACAAGACCCUUCUUCAGUCCUCAGCAACGAAAUGAGGUGGGAGGGAUUGAAAAAGGCGUAAGGGGAGGUGGGAAGGGUGACCAGCUGUAAGCAGUCCCCAUGCCUCUCCGUGGUUGCUGGUAAAGGUGUUCCCGUCCUGAGUGUGGAAAGGACUUUGGAGUUCAGGAAAGAUUAAGGGGUCCUUUCCUCACAGCGUCCCCUCCCGUACCCCCAGCUGAGUUGUGGGGAGCUUCGGUUGAGCUCCGGCACCCCGGCAGGGUCGGGCCAGGAGGGAGGCCUUGAAGGCCACUCAAGCCAAGGCGCCAACUUGCCCGAUCUGAGCCUGAGGCCUGCUGAAAGCAGAGCGGGGCACCUAACGGCUGGUUCCGGAAUGAGGCUCUGCUUUCUAGCUUCUUUUUCUCCUCCUCCCCCCAAAUCUUCCAACAUGCCACCCUGGAGGCUCUGCCCCAAGAACACCUUUGUCUCUCCCGAGGGCAUUCACAGGAAGCACCUUGGAGGGGGCAGUGGCAGGACACUGACUUGACAAAACAGUUGCUGAGAAAACGGCAGGACCUGAGCUGUUGAUUCAGGAGCCUUUCCAAACUUCAAAAUUCUGGGCGCUAUUGCUAAUUGGUGCUGCAAAACUGUCCUCCUCUAAGACCACCUCCAAGGCCCCCACCCACCCACAGCGAGCUGGCCUUUUGUGCGUUCAGUGGGAAAAGGGACUCCUAGCUUCCAGCCUGGCAGCUUGAUGGUCAACAUAGAAAACACAACUAAUUCUGGGGCCCUACUUUUCUUGUGAAAAUCCCUUUAGGUAGUUUUAGAUAUGGAGCAGGAACAAGUAAAGGACUAUUGGCAAACACGAAGGCAGGCAUGAAAUCUGUGCCCGCUUUGUCUCACCUUAAAAGACAACGAAAACACGCACAGCUCCUGGGCUUCUUGGAAUUGGUCUUCCCGGUGCGGGCUGGGCCCCAGAAGACCCCCAGUGUUCAGAGUCCUGGGGUCCCAAGUCCCGCACAGGACUCCCUUGUGCCGGGCUAUGCAUGGGAGCGGCUCCUGCCCUCUGGGCCGCGGACCCUCAGGCCCCCAGGAGCGCAGCGACCUGGUGGCCUCUGCCCUGCCAUCUCCCAGCCACUGCCCAUUGAUGAUUCCCAGGUGGAGAAGCCCCAGCGCCGCACCGCCCAGCCUGGCCACCAGCCCUGGGCCCCGCUGUCCAGCACCUCCCAGGCCGGAAUGGCGAACAGGUUUCCACCUCUGCCUGUCUUUGCACUUGGGAGUCGGGGGCACCUUAAGACUCUUACUGCCUCUCACUAGCUUCCCUUCCCCCUCAAGCCAGGAGGCCCUGUGCUAGCCGGCCCUCCCCAGGGACACAGCCUGCGCCAUCCAGCUUCCUCCAGUGGUCGCCUGCAGGACCCAGAAUUGAAGCGGCCCUUUGCCCAGGGCUCCAGAGUGGCAUCGAAAUUGAGCUCAUCCACACAGCCCCCUGACGGCCUGGUGCCCUUUUCUGACUUAAAACUUUCCUUGCACCUUUGUUUACCCGCUCAAAGUUUCAGUGUGCCUAGAUUUUCCUCCCUCCAAGGACAAAAAUGUGAAUAAAACAUUAUUUUAGCCAAA